UGGUGGAGUGAUUUGUCUGGUUAAUUCCGUUAACGAACGAGACCUCGACCUACUAAAUAGUCCAGCGAACCCUUUGGGUACGACUGGUACUUCUUAGAGGGACUAUCGGUUCGUAGCCGAUGGAAGUUCGAGGCAAUAACA
rnacentral:rRNA from 1 species